rnacentral:rRNA from 1 species
AUAUACGACCAUAGGGUGUGGAAAACAGGGCUUCCCGUCCGCUCAGCCGUACUUAAGCCACACGCCGGUGAGUUAGUAGUUGGGUGGGUGACCACCAGCGAAUCCUCACUGUUG